rnacentral:rRNA from 1 species
GGGCCCGCACAAGCAGUGGAGUAUGUGGUUUAAUUCGAUGUAACGCGAAAACCUUACCUGGGCUUGAACUGCUAAUGGUAAGAACCGGAAACGGUGAUGACCCGCAAGGGUGUUAGCAGAGGUGCUGCAUGGCUGUCGUCAGCUCGUGUCGUGAGAUGUUGGGUUAAGUCCCGCAACGAGCGCAACCCUUAUCCCAUGUUACCUGUAGUCAAAUACAGGGUCUCUGAGGAAACUGCCAUUGAUAAAAUGGAGGAAGGUGGGGACGACGUCAAGUCAUCAUGGCCUUUAUGUCCAGGGCUACACACGUACUACAAUGGUCGGUACAGAGGGUAGCAAUAUCGUAAGAUGGAGCAAAUCCCUAAAGCCGCCCCAGUUCAGAUUGUGGGCUGCAAUUCGCCCACAUGAAGUAGGAAUUGCUAGUAAUCGCAGAUCAGCAGGCUG